UGCUGGGAUAGUUCAGCCAGUAGAGCAUGAGACUCUUAAUCUCAGGGUCAUGGGUUUGAGACCCACGUUGCGCAA